UAUGAUUACCUUGAAUGUGAUUUGGAACGACUUCCUAAAUCUCAUUCAUAUUCUGGCCAGAGAUUCUUAAUCAUAUCAUAGAGUAUUCUCCCCCCAAACGGUUUAAAGGUUAGAGAUCCCUUGUUGCGCAUUCACUUGCCUCCAUGGCUAAGUGGCUUAACCCCAACUAUGCCGUGGACACCCUCUGACGGAGUGACUUUGACAUAAUCACAGAUCAAUGACCUAACCACAAGACAACUAUGAUGCCUCAGGUCAAAUGACUACUUUGCAUUAUCCCAACCAUGAGUUCUCAUGUGACAUGAGUAUGAGAACUCCUCGUUGAUCGUGUUCAGUGGACUCAUUCACUAUUGAGCACCUACAUGCUUGUCUUGAUGUCACACACACCAAUGACUCGAGACUAGUCAUUCUCCCUGAGAGAAGACACAGCACGUACUGAUCUUAACGGACUGUCAAUACCCAAUUGGCAAUCCUAUGAUCAGGAACGUUUAGGAUGUGUCUACGAAAGAAUGGUCUCAUGAAUCU
rnacentral:lncRNA from 1 species